UGGGAGGCUGAGGCAGGCUGGGCAAUUUAGCAAGGCCCUGUCUCAAAAAUAGUUUUAAAAAAAAAGCCUGGGAUGGUCAGCUAGAGCACUUUCAUCCUCGGUACAAGAGAAAGCGAAAGCAAGUUCGCGCCCUGUACCCUUCCGGCUGCGUGGCAGUGCACAGCCCUGGUCGUGAAAGGCCCAAGCAGGUCUCUCAGAAGCGGUCCUGGGGGCUGCUCUCCCGCGGGCUGUGUCAUCUUGCCAUAGUCCGGACCCUUCCGGGUCCCCAGGGGCUCGCCCUGGAGGGAACCGCGCUCCUGGUAGUGGGGUGGGAGCCACACUGCUGCCUCUACACACCUCACGCCGAGCGGGACGCGCCCCACUGUGCCCGGCCCCGGAGCCCUGAGGGCUGUGGGGCUUGGUGUUGUCCUCCCGGCCUCGGCCCCACCCCGCCCGGUACUCACUCGAGGUCAAAGGCUGUGCUGGAGAAAGCAGAGGGGUCCACUAUGUAG
rnacentral:lncRNA from 1 species